rnacentral:rRNA from 1 species
GACGAACGCUGGCGGCGUGCUUAACACAUGCAAGUCGAACGGUAAGGCCCUUCGGGGUACACGAGUGGCGAACGGGUGAGUAACACGUGGGUGAUCUGCCCUGCACUUCGGGAUAAGCCUGGGGAACUGGGUCUAAUACCGGAUAGGACCACUGCCUGCAUGGGUGGUGGUGGAAAGCUUUUGCGGUGUGGGAUGGGCCCGCGGCCUAUCAGCUUGUUGGGGGGGUGAUGGCCUACCAAGGCGACGAAGGGUAGCCGGCCUGGGUGGGUGAGCGGCCACACUGGGACUGAGAUACGGCCAGACUCCUACGGGAGGCAGCAGUGGGGAAUAUUGCACAAUGGGCGCAAGCCUGAUGCAGCGACGCCGCGUGAGGGAUGACGGCCUUCGGGUUGUAAACCUCUUUCAGCACCGACGAAGCGCAAGUGAUGGUAGGUGCAGAAGAAGGACCGGCCAACUACGUGCCAGCAGCCGCAGUAA